UCAUGGACUCACAGUCUAGACAGGAAGACAGACACUGAAGUGUCCCCUGAUUCAGGUUUCACUAGAAAUGUACUGAGCAGGCAAACCAAGAAUAGGACAAGGGUUAGAAUCCAUAGUCUGGGCCAGAAGAGAGCAGCUUGGCUAUUUGAAUUCAUUGUCUCCUGGAGCCAGAAAGCCUCUCCAGAGGUCUUCUGGCUCAGAAGACCUAUCUCCAAACAGGACAAUGAUCUAAUUACUCGGAACCCAUUGUUCUCUCUUUUGCCAAGGAUCUUCAGAGAUGGAGAGAGCCCUCAGACUCCACUAAGAGGCCCGGGCAGUCUUUCAUCACCCCGACAGUCGAGAGUUCUUCCCUGUGGCUAACUGCAGUCUCUCCCUGUGGCUUUGAUUCCCCAAACUUUCUCCCCGACAAUCGCGUCUGCCAGUCCGGAAUGGAGCCAGGCCAGAGGGAGAAGGCGAAAUGAUCCCGGAAUUGGACAGGCCCCAUGGCCACCAAGGGCGGACCUGUUCCCGUGUCCCGGUCCAGAAGGUCAAGAAACAGGGCUCUGGGAAAAGGCAGCAUAAUUCCUGAAGCCAGCUGUCUUGCCAAAGCUGUAAAUGCUAGCUGUUAAAGCAGUUCUGGGCUGCUCCACUAGGCAUCGAUAUCAUCAUCAUCGACCCUUGACAAACAUAUUCAGGAUGCAGAGCACUGUACUAAGCACUCAGGAGCGUUCAGGAGAAGAGGAGUCGAACCCUGCCCUCGAGGAGCAUGCACCUCUAGAGUGCUCUUCGUUAGAUGCCACCGGCUUGCCUUCGCAACCCUGCCAGCACCAUUACUAUCUGGGACGUUGAGCCUUGAUUUCAGCCAAGGGGGAGUGAGGAUGGUGCGGCCCACGCUGUCCCCGCUUGACCCAUAAGUUCAGCCAGUCUGUCUGGGUCCGCCUGGUGAACGUCAAAGGGCAGCGGGGUAGAAUCUGUUCCAGGCUCCUCUGGACCGCAAGGCCCAGCUCCAAAGCUCUGUAAAAAGCCAAUCUCGGGGUUUGUACCUCUCACCUCCACUUUGAAGGAUCUCUAAUGACACCCCAAGCGAACACACCCCAGUUCCGCCGGAGACUUGCAAAGACUGUUUUACCAGCAGUGAUGAUUUUUUUUUUCAAGCUAAACUCCCGGGUCUUGCUUCAAGAAGGUAGGGUGACGGUCCCCUCUUCGAUUGUCUGCGGGCCCAGGCGGUCCCCCGGUCUCCCCCUCCACCAUCCCCCAUGCCCCCCUAGGGUCCCGACCAUCUGACCGACACCUUGCGUGCCAGAGAGAGCCGCUCCAGAGAAGCCUAGGGCGGGAUCUGUCCACGUUUUGUGAGUGUGGAUAAUAACCAACGUGGCGGGUAUUAAAAAGUCCUGACAGGCA